CCGCCCCUGCCGUCAGGCUGCGAGGUGGCGAGAGGCGACCCCGCACGUCGCGAAAUGGCGGCCGGCCCCGCGCCCCGCGGGCUGGGGCUAGGGUGGAACACAGACUAACACCAUGGCCGGAGCCAGGCGACACCGCCAACGUUUUCCCUACAGGCUUGUCAUGCCCUGAAGUGAGUAUUUCCUCCUCAUCUUAGAUCUCCACUUCUCUGAGACCCAUCUCGUCGGUGUGACAUAUGGACUCCAAAACAAGAAAAUAAUUAUACCAGGCCUUGAUGUUUACACAGGAGAGAUAGAGGAAUAGUGAUUGUUAAAAUGUGGUUUUACUCUUGAAUGAAAAACUCAUUUACUUUCUUAGUUAGACUAACUAAAACUGGGUGCAGCAGAGAACAGUACUUACUCAAUACAGUAAGUAAAGAGUUACUUCUUUGUGCCGUAUAUGGGCCAAACCAGAAACAUUUUAUGUUUUCUGUCAACUAGAAGAACCUUGGCACAGUUUUAGAGAAAGUAGCCAGUUUUCAGCAGCCUUCUGUACCUGGUCCAUCAAUAUCUGCUACCAAGGGAUGUUUAAAUCAAUCCUGGACAAACUUCUUUUCUUUCAAUAAGAAUUUGUAGUUUUUUAAGCGAAUACCUCUAACAGCUUUGGGCUUCUUAGGAACAUAGAAAGGUUAGGCCAGAUCUCAGCAAUUUCUUUUCCUUAUGAAGCUAGUCCUCCUAUAUCAGCUUACAUUGUUAUAUAGUCAUUUCUCUCUAAGUAUUCCUUCACAAUUGGACUCAAAAGGGAUAUUCUUUACAAAAAAGCACAAAAGGUAUAUGUGUAAUAUAAAGCACUGGAGGGUUAUUUGCCUUAAGUACACCUUGUUUUCCAAAUGCAGAUUGUCCAAAAUCCUAAUUAUAAUUAUCUUUGGUUUUACCUGUAAAAUGCAUCAUAUAAUUUGUUUGUUUUAUUAAAAUAUUUUAUUAAC